UAUAAAUAUAAUAGAAAUUAAUAUAUAUAACUUUCUUUUUUACAUUCUUAAUAUGUAUUUUUAUUUAAAAAAUGAAUUAAUUGAAUAUUUAAAGUCUGGUGCUCAAUCUACUACAUUUAAAAGUAAUUUAAGUUUCAUAAAAUGUAAUAUAUAUGUAAAUAUGUUACCAAAAGAUACAAAUUCAAAUAUGUCAGUUUUACCUUUUACAAGUCUUGAAAAAAACUCUAAUGACAAUUCAUAUAACGUAUGGCAAAAAUUAUGUCUAUUUUUUAGUUCUUAUGCAUUUCUGUUUGCAACUAUAUUUAAUGUUAUUAUGCAAUUAUAUGGACCAAUUAACAUAGUAAACGAGUUAACUAACUACCAAUACGAAUCGGAUAGUGAUGAAACAAAAGUAUAUACAUAUAAAUCUUUAGUCAAAGCUUAUGGAAAAUAUAACCUAAGAAUAAAUUCAAAUAACAGCAAAUCAUAUACAUCUUCUUUUUAUUCACACAAAACAAAAACAAACUUAGAAAAAUCUAAUAAUUAUAAUAUUUUUGGUGAAAGCCUUAUGUUGGAAAAAGAUUCGACGGUAACAUAUACAAAAACCGACAAAUUCAGAGAGCAAGAUAAUUAUCAUUUUAGUGGUCCUGUUCGAGGAAUGGAUAUCCAGAACUGGAGGUUAAACACAAUGGAUACAAUUUGCGAUAAAAAAUGUAGCCAUAAAUGUAGCAGUGCUAACGAAAACGUUAAAAAAAAAAAGUAUCCGUAUGCACAGCUAGAUACUGUGGCAAAAAGAAAGGAAUUUUUAAAAAACAAAACAGUUAGUUUUAAAAAUGUUAACAGGGGGAUUAGUAGUAGCAGCAGCAUCAGCAGCAGCUUUCGUAAAGGUAGUAGUAGUAGUAGUAGCAGAAACAGUGUUAGCAGAAACAGUGUUAGCAGGAACAGUGUUAGCAGAAACAGUGUUAGCAGAAACAGUGUUAGCAGAAACAGUAUUAGUCGGAGUGGAAAUCGUCGGAACGAUAAAAAAGCCAAACCAACAUAUUCUUCAGAAAAUGAAUUAACGACAAAAAAAACCGAUUCAUAUAAUAAAUGUGACAUGAAAAAAAUGAAUAAACAAAAAAGUAUAAUCCAAAUGAAUGGAAAAAAUACAAUUGAACAGAAUACAAAAUGUGUUACAAAUACAUUACCUUUGUCUUCUUGCCUGCGUUAUGAGACUGAGUUGGGUCCUAAGGCUGAACCUGGUCUUACUUCUGUCUCUUUUGUUAGUAGUUCUUUUUCAGAUGGCCAGUUUGACUAUGUUUCUUCUAGACAUAAUCAUUCAUCUAAUUAUAGUCAAAAUGAUAUUUCAAAAAGUUAUAAUAAAAAAAAACAAAAAAAUAAAAAGGUUUCAUGGCCAAGAAAUAGGAAGAGGGAUACUAUUUCUACUGUUAGUAGUAUUAGUAGUAUUAGUAGUGUCAGUAGUAUUAGUAUUAAAUCAUUUAUACCGGGUGGAAAAAGGAAAACGAUAUAUAAGGGUGAUGAUGUUCAUAGUAAUACAGUAGGAACUACUAAUAAUACAUAUAAUAAAACUAGCACUAUUAAUACACAUAAACAUUUGGAAAAACUUGGUGGUGAAAAAAAUUAUUUUAAACGAUUAUUUAAUAAAAAAAAAAAUUUAAAAAAAUUUGGAGUGUUUGCUUUGUUUUUUAUUAUCUUUAUAUUUAAUUUGUUACAUAUCUUAGAUUUUAAAAGAAGUAAUAAUAUAGUUAGUGAAAUAGUGUUAAACAAUUUAUACAGAAGUUAUUUAUUUUUUAUAAUAGCAACACCUAUUAUUUAUGUCGCUUGGUUUUUUGGGUCCAAAGAACAAAUGUCUCAGUGUGGAAUUAUAUCUACAUGUUUGCAUUUCUUGGCAUGGGUAGUUAUAUUUCCAUACAACAUUUUAAAUAACACAUUUGGAAGUCCAGUGUAUUCGUUCAUAAUUUUAUUGCUUUUUAAUAUACUUACUAUAGUCAUUGCUUUAAUUGAAAUUUAUAAAAAAAUGAGAUUUAGAAAAUUACAAGCACGUAAAUACCCGAGUAGUGUUAACAGGUUGAUAGGAAACAAACAUGGGCAUGAAUACCAAGACGAACAUAAAGACGAACAUAAAGACGAACAUAAAGACGAGCGCAUUUACGAAUCUAAAAAAAGUAAUAAUUCAAAAGAAGUUAACAUUAUUAAAACAAUCGAGAUGAGCAAUUCCAUAAAUGACGUUAACCAAAAAAUGAAUGUCGAUGACAAUGAUAGUGUCGAAAAUAUAGAAAAGUUAUAUAUAAAAUACAACAACAUAUUAAACAAAAAUAAUAACAUUAUAAUUUUUAAAAAAUGUGUGUACUGGUUAUAUGUAGGAAACAUAGAUAUCUUACGUAAAAAUAUAAAUGUAGCCAUGUCAGGAAAUGUAAAUGUAUAUAUUCCAUUUCUAUGGAAUAUUUUGUUUAAAUAUAUAAAUUCACCCACGUUAAUUAUAAUUUUUUUUUAUAAUACGGACAUAUAUUUUUUAAAAUUGACUGAGUAUCUUGAACCAUCUUUUAGUUUUAUAAUUGAAUUAGUUUCGGUUGUCCUUAUAAUUGUGUGUUGCUCGAUCACUCUGAUAAGCAACUUCUUCAAAUGUAAGCUGCGCAUGUGUAUAAUAUAUAUACGUAUAAUCCGUAUAUGAACACAAAGUCAUUUCCGCUCCACACUUCUGACUAUUUCUCUCCCUAUUACCUGUCAUCUACACAUUAUAUUCAUUAUCGAUUCGACACAUGUUUCUAUCAUUAAUUUAUCCAUUUAUCCAUUAAAUGAAUGACUUAUUAUUUGUAAUGUUUUGCUUAGUCCUGUUUGGUCUUACUUAGUC
ensembl:lncRNA